rnacentral:rRNA from 1 species
AGGGAGAGGAAAGUGGAAUUCCUGGUGUAGAGGUGAAAUUCGUAGAUAUCAGGAGGAACACCGGUGGCGAAGGCGACUUUCUGGCCCUAUACUGACGCUGAGACGCGAAAGCGUGGGUAGCAAACAGGAUUAGAUACCCUGGUAGUCCACGCUGUAAACGAUGUUCACUAGGUGGUGGGGGUAUUGACCCUUUCAGUGCCGCAGCUAAUACAUUAAGUGGACCGCCUGGAGGAGUACGGUCGCAAGAUUAAAACUC